GACGAACGCUGGCGGCGUGCUUAACACAUGCAAGUCGAACGAAGUGGCGAACGGGUGAGUAACGCGUAAUCAACCUGCCCUUCAGAGGGGGACAACAGUUGGAAACGACUGCUAAUACCGCAUACUGAAGGAGGGGAUUGCGUCUGAUUAGCUAGUUGGAGGGGUAACGGCCCACCAAGGCGAUGAUCAGUAACCGGUCUGAGGGGAUGAACGGCCACAUUGGGACUGAGACACGGCCCAGACUCCUACGGGAGGAAGCAGGAGGGAAGCUGCCGAAAUGGACGAAAGUCUGACGGAGAAUCGCGGCGUGAGUGAGGAGGGCUUUCGGGUGGUAAAGCUCUGUUAAUCGGGACGCGGUACCGGAAUAGAAAGCCACGGCUAACUACGUGCCAGCAGCCGCGGUAAUAC
rnacentral:rRNA from 1 species